UACGUAGGGUGCAAGCGUUAAUCGGAAUUACUGGGCGUAAAGCGUGCGCAGGCGGUGAUGUAAGACAGUUGUGAAAUCCCGGCUCAACCUGGGAACUGCCUUUGUGACUGCAAGGCUUGAGUGCGGCAGAGGGGGAUGGAAUUCCGCGUGUAGCAGUGAAAUGCGUAGAGAUGUGGAGGAACACCGAUGGCGAAGGCAGCCCCCUGGGUCAAGAUUGACGCUCAUGCACGAAAGCGUGGGGAGCAAACAGG
rnacentral:rRNA from 1 species